rnacentral:SRP_RNA from 1 species
GUAGCAGCCCUGCGCACGAGGAGGAUGUGAACCCCGCCAGGUCCGGAAGGGAGCAACGGUAAGCAUCUCUAAUCGGUGCCGCAGUCAGUUGUUGCCCG